AAUCCGUAACUUCGGGAAAAGGAUUGGCUCUGAGGACUGGGCUCGGGGGUCCCGGCCCCGAACCCGUCGGCUGUUGGCGGAUUGCUCGAGCUGCUCACGCGGCGAGAGCGGGUCGCCGCGUGCCUGCCUGGGGACGGACCAGGAAUCGCCCCUUCGGGAGCUUUCCCCAAGCAUGAAACAGUCGACUCAGAACUGGUAC
rnacentral:rRNA from 16 species